GUGUCCGUGGUGUAGUGGUUAUCACAUCCACCUAUCACGCGGAAGAUCCUCGGUUCGAUCACGAGCGGAAACA
rnacentral:tRNA from 1 species